CUUGAUCUCAGGGCAGUCAACCACUGAGCCACAUCCCCAGUCCCUUUUUGUAUUUUAUUUAGAGACAGGGUCUCACUGAGUUGCUUAGCACCUUGCUUUUGCUGAGGCUGGAUUUGAACUCACAAUACUCAUGCCUCAGCCUUCUGAGCCUCUGGGAUUACAGGCAUGCACCACGGUGCCUGGCUAAACUUUUUACAUUUCUUAAUGAUGAUUACAUUUAAAUUCCUCUUUUUUUUUGUGUGUGUGUGUCAGGGAUUGAACCCAGGGGUGCUUAACCACUGAGCCACAUCCCCAGCCCUUUUUAAUAUUUUAUUAGAGUCAGGAUCUUGCUGAGUUGCUCUAGGUCUUGCUAAUUGAUGAGGCUGGGUUUGAACUUGCAAUCCUCCUGCCUCAGCCUCCCACAUUUGCUGGGAUUACAGGCAUGCACCACUGCACCCAGCUUCCUUUCUUCUAUUUUUUCUAUUAGUGCAUUAGAAUAGUGUGAUUUGUUGUUACAUAUUUAUACAUGCUCAUAAUUUAAAACAUUACUCUUAGUGGCCCUGAAUAUUCCUAGGUUUCUUCCCACUUGACUUUAUGGGGAGUAAUGAAGGGAUUAGCUUGGUGAUGAAGAUGCAUACAUGAGGCACUCUCACAACCAGUCCUUUUUUCAGAUUGGCACUACUUAAAGCUAAGCCCGGAGCAGGACUGACAGCCCAACCUUCUAGGAUACUCAGGAAAAUAUAACAGCCUCUUGGGCUACCUCCCUCCAGCUUGGACCUCUUCUUUGGUUAAUUUUCCCAGAUCAAAUCUUAAAUUCCAGGCAGGGACAGAGAGGGAUGGAGACCAAGACUGAGAUGGUGAAUGAAGUAAGAGACUGAAUUACAAGUUUGUUGUCCAUGUAUCAGUCAGAAAUGAUCAAGCGUUUAGUUGGUCUCACGUGUGGGAAGCACAUGCCCUUGCCUGUUGGUCUCUUAAUCAGGGGGGUAGGCCCUAAGGAGACCUGCUGGUGGGCUGGAGUGGAAGACCAAUAGGAAUGUUGUGGUGCAGCUUUCAAAGCCAAUUCCUCUCCUUAGUUCCAGAAGCAAUGGGGGGUUCCCCCUAGCUCCUACCACUGUUUUCUGGCUGUCCCCUUUUAUAACCUAGCAACUUUCUUUUGGGGGAUUGCCUCUCAAGCGUCCAGGGACUUGAGUGUUUCCAGUUAUGCCUCAGUGACUUGGACUUCAGUCCGCUUCUCUGGCUCUUAGGGAGACUCUCCCUUAAGGCUGCAGUUCUCCUUUCACCAUGACACCCUGGAGCUGGCCCUCUGAUAUCAUUGCUGAGGAUGUGGGUGUGGGCCCAGAGAAUAGGGACCAAGUAAACCGACAAGAAGAGUUUACCAGCAUCAGGGUGAAGUUCAUCUUUGUGAGCAUCACCGUGGGAUUCGGGAUACAGGAUUCAAUUUGUGGUGAAGCCAGAAAGGCUGCGCUCUACUUUGCAACCAUGAAGACCUUCGUUAUAUUAAGUCCUGGGAAGGGAGCUGAAAGUGUCUGAUCCAGAAAGUUCCGCCUUUCAGAUAACACCACCAUUGCAGCCAGCUGUCGUCAGUGUUGCUGUCGCCUGAUUUUACUCCACGUUCCUUCCUAGACUCAUCAGCUCUAGAAUUACUGCAGCAAAUACACCGUCCUGCACAAUUUGGACUCAGGCCUCUUAAUGUAAAAAAGCUUGACCUCAUUGCUUUUACUUCUUGUUCCUAAUUGUUUUUAAUGACACCAGUAUAUUCUCCUUGUAAAAAAAAAUAAAAACAUUACACAAAGAUUGGACUU
rnacentral:lncRNA from 1 species